CAGGUACAGGUCAGCAAGCCUUUGCCCAUGCUGGAUGCUAGGCAGGGACCUUUGUUUUGUGGCAGGGUACCAGCCCUCCCUGCCCAGCCACGUGAGCAGCCAUUGGGUUUCACACAAACUUGGCAUUAAAUCAUUGAAAAGCCAAUGGAAUAGGGCCAACCCUUUGCGCACCGUUGAUUCACUCAUGGCUUAAGGCUGUCGGAGAGCGGAUGUGGGCGCUGGGGGAGCCUGUCAGGAAACGCCCGUGGCGCCGGGCUGCUCGCUGCCACCUGGCCUGCAGGCCUCGGGCCGGCACCAGGCCGACGCGGCCCAAGGCCGGGACACAGGAAGCCUCAGCUUCCUCAGCCCAAGAGGAGGAGAGGCCGGCAGGGCCCCCGCCCCCGGGCGGUGCCUCCUCCCCCAGCGCUCCAUCCCGUGGGCCUCGUCGGCCGCCGUCCGCCCGCACCAGGUGAACGCGUAUCCCUCCGCGACGGCCGCCCCCAGCUCUAGGCUCGCAGCUCCGCAGUCCCCGGAUGGAAACUGUUAUGGCCGCCAACAGCGACCCGCCGGGCUAUGGUGACGGGCGAGACCUCUUUUCAGUAUUCUUCC
rnacentral:lncRNA from 1 species